UACAGAGGCCCCAAGCGUUAUGCGGAAUCACUGGGCUUAAAGCGUGUGUAGGCGGACGCCUAAGUGUCUUGUGAAAUCCCACGGCUCACCCGUGGAACUGCUGGGCAUACUGGGCGUCUUGGGCCAACUAGGGGCAGCCGGAACAAGCGGUGGAGCGGUGAAAUGCGUAGAUAUCGCUUGGAACGCCGAAGGUGAAAACAGGCUGCUGGGGUUGCGCCGACGCUGAGACACGAAAGCCAGGGGAGCAAACGGG
rnacentral:rRNA from 1 species